CCCCUGGUGUCUAAUAAGUACAGUCUUCCUCUCAGCAUUCGCCUCUUCUCCAUGGCUCCCUUAUGAAAUGUGAGGCUAGCUGCAGAGUUGGAAGGACAAAGGAACUGACUUCCUCAGACCUUUUAAAGUAAGGGUCUGUUCUCAGAGGCUGCACUUAUACUUUUGGCCACAAGGUGUAAUGAAAACACACAACAGCAACAACAACCUAAGGACCCCAGAGGAAGUAAGUCAAGCAAAUCAAAACACGGAGACAAGUGGAGCUGGUCUGGAAAGCCAACAGUUGCUCAAGUGUGAAGAGGAACAUGGAGGAGACAGAGAAGAGGAGGAGGGAGUGUGACCACAAGGCAGAGAUUGGAGCGAUGCAGUCACAAGUCAAGAAAUGCUGGUGAGCAGCGGAGCCUGGAAGAGUCCUUAGAGCCCCCAGGAGUGGGGCCUGCCACUAUCCUGAUUUCAGACUUAGAGAUUUCAGCACUGUGAGAGAACAUGUCUCUGUUGUAAGCUACUGGGUUUGUGGCACAUCAUUAUGGCAGCCCUGGGAAACUGACUCAGAGCCAGUCUUAGUUCCACUCCUUAAUUCCUGUCCCCGUGUCUGUGGAAAGUGGGGAAGGCAGCACAUACAAUGGUCUCUGAUUUGAAGUGUAUAUCAGAUUGUGUAAAACAGAACCCCAUCAUUUCAGGGUUGUCUCUCAGCGGGUGCUGUAAUGGAGUCUUCAGUAAGCCAGAUACCUCUCAAGUAUACCAGCUGGUUCCAGAGGAUGGAAGUAUGCAAUAAAAGCAGCAAUUUCAUGGGAAGAGUCCAUUUCUGCUUUUUUUGUUUUGUUUGUGUUUUGUUUUUUGCUGUGAGAUGACGUUGUUUCUCAGACAUCAUACUACACAGGAUGGCAUGAUGGUGGUAGGUGGGACAUUCUAUAAGUCCAUGGUUGGUGAUGGUGGGAGAAGCACUAAGGGCUAGAAAACAAAUCCAUAUCCAGAACAUAUGUCUAUUCCAGUGAAGGUGAAUCUCUGCCCUUUUAAAGAGAGAAGUUCAGUGGAAGAAAUCAAGAAGUAGGUGUGUCUACUUCUGUCUUAUGAAGAAGCUGGUCAGCAGUCUCAGCCAGUGUGGCUAGGGGGCUCCAGAUUGGACCCCCUUCUUUUAUGUGGUAUUGCUAUGAUGUUUGCUUCUUGUCUUAGGGUCCCUAUAAUAGUUUCCUAUUGAUGCUGUAACAAUUAAUACACGUUUAUUGGCUUAAAAAGACAAAUUUAUUAUUGUACAUUUCUGUAAGAAGUUAAAAAUGAGAUCCACUGGGCUAAAGGUGUGGUUUCAACCUGUCUCCACCUUAUUUCUUACUACUUUCUUUCAUAUACCCUUUGUCUCAAUACACGGUUAUCCAGUUCUGGCCCCUUUAUAAUUUGUCACACUGUGCUCUCUUUUGAAGACCAUCCAUCCCUUGUGCCCACAUUCCAUGUGUCCCAAUCCUUCAUCCAUCUAAAUGCCCAAUUUGAAUGUCACAACCACCAACCCCCAGUUGAAAGGAAUCUUUCACUCCUCCCAGCUGCCAUUAAAAUCCUCUCUAGGCCCCUGACAUUACAUUUCUUGAGGGCAGGAACUAGACCUUGUUUGUAUCUUCGUGUCCCCCAAAGCAGGAUUGACAUGGAUAGUUGUGCGGAUUGUAUGUUGUGACCCUUUUACAUGGGAAGCACUUUAUCAAUAACUCCUAAUAAAUGAAUGACUGAGAGUUCUUUGAUGUUGGCAUUAUGUUCAGUUUCUAAUGUAAUGAACUCAGAUCUUAAGAUGCUGAAAAGUUUGAAGCCAGAACUUCCGGAGAAAUAGAAAGAAAGACAACACUAAAUAAGAUGUAAAUCCUUCACCAGAUGAUGAAAGGUCUUGACUCCCUUUUAAAAGAGAUCUGAUGAGAGCACACCUCCAUCCUUCACACACACACACACACACACACACACACACACACACCACAGUUUCUUUCUAACCUUGACUGCCGGGACCACUGUGUAGGGUCAUGAUAGUCAUGCACUUUUUUUGUGUCUGUGACAGGCCUGAGCUUGGCAGCUUGGUUAUGCCUUUCCCUACUCCACCCCAUUCCCCACACCCCUGCCAGGAUCCCUUUACGUGAAUACAACUUACCAUUCAGUUCCUGUAGCCAAUACCAGGAAAACUGCUACUAGAAAUGACAUCCAAUGCCAACAACGUGAUUUCUUUUCAUGGGAACCUACCUGGCUUUGUGAAGAAAGAAUUAGAAUAUAUCUUAAUAACAAUAAUGCUUCAUUGCCAAGAAAUCAGAUUCUCAAUAGAUGGACUGUUUUUGAGCUGGACAGCUGCCUUGAAACACAGCUUGCUUAUUCAACAGAACUUUGUCCCUGGAUAGGUAUCACACUCAGCAGACGGGGACAACCUAGGUAGAUAACAAGCCAGUGCUUUCCAAAUGAAACCAGGUCCCCACCACUCUUGUUACCACUUAUGUAGCCAACUGAGAUGAGUAAACAAACCAAGACGUCCUGACAGGUGUGGGUGUCAAUUCAUAUCCAGAUGGCCUGAGCAGUUCCCCCACCUCACUGCUCUCUUACUGACCUGAGUGCCAGAAUUCAGAACACACCUACCCAGGCAGCCAGAACCCAGAUGAGAGGCAAUAUUGCUUAGCAUCGCAGAUUAGCGGUGUUUCAGGUUACAGACUUGGGUUUGAAUUCUGAUCCACUGCUCACAGAAAGUUAAUUUCACUUAUUCACACUCUGCCAUUUGGAAAUGUGCAGUCGUGUUAUGGGAGGGACUGAGUCAAAUUUUACUUUGUACUCACAGGAGAAAGUAAUGGUUAUAAGUAGUGAUUCUGGAGCCAGAUGGGCCCAAGCUCCACCCCCAGCCCUGCCACUUAUUACUUAACUUCUCUAAGCUUCAGUCUUCCUAUGUGUAAAAUUGGACUGCUCAUAAGAGCACUGAAUUCAGAGGGUCGAAUAUGAUAUUGUUAUAAAAUAUUUGGUAUAGAGUAAGUCUUCAAUAAGUAAUAGCUAUUAUUAAGGAGGAAAAAAAUGACAUGCAAUGUUAGCAAAUUAGAACCUACAUUGAUUUUCUCUUUUACUUAACUAGCUGUUUUGUUGUUUUUUUAAGGUGAACAUAUCCUGUCUUUCUAAAAAUUCUUUUUCAGCUCACAUGAUUUGAGUUCUUACGAUGGGCUGGCCAGGUAACACACUUAACACAUGGAAUCUCUUUUAUCCUUACUGUGGUUAUAUAUUGGUGAGGCAGGUAUUAUUAUCCUCAUUUCAUAGUUGGGAAAAUUGAGGCUCAGGGUGUCUAGUUGACUUUCCAAAUUCAUUAAAUAGAUAUAGUUGAACACUGGGGUCCCAGUUCUGAAGUUUCCUUAGUCUAAGACUAAUUUAUGCUCUAAUAGCCAAAUGGGAACCAAAAUAUCAACCUCAUCAGUGACCUAAUAAAGUAGAAAUUGAGAUUAUCUGGUAAAUGUCAUUGGAUAACACAAAAUGGGACUUUAUGCUUUAUUUCUAAAUCCAGAUGUAGGAGCCUUAUAGCAAGAAGUAGGUCCCUAAGGGUGCCUGGGUGGCUCAGUUGGUUAAGUGUCUGACUUUGGUUCAGGUCAUGAUC